AGAGGAUCCUGGAGGCCAAUGAGUAUGGAGAGAAGUAUGCAAGCACAGGACACAGACCCACUCCUGUUGUAUAUAAUUAUGUGAGCAGAUGGGAGAGGCUAAUGACUUUUAAUCCCAAGUGCAUUAAAGAAGAUUAAAGACGCCUACAGACCUAAGGAUCUGUGUUGAAGAUUUUAUAUGCAAUACCAUUCUCGUUUGUUCAUGUUUGCUGUCGUGAUUUCUUGAGUCUGUAAGGCAGACUGUGUGCAUGUUUGCAAGUCUAGGUGGCACACCACCAUCUGAAUUUCUGAACCAUGUUGCGGAUCUCUAGUGCCAAAUCCUACAAGGUUUUGGUUUUCUAUUUAUAGGAGCCUAGAAACCACUCUAGCCUUUGGAGUCACAGCUUCGCGGCAGUUUCAGCGUCUGCUACUUAUUAAGUGUUGAUGGACCAUCUGGGGCUUUCAGAGUCUUAUGUGACAUCUUCUUCAACUUACCUUGGAAUCUUAGACUUCACUGAGAUCUAUGCAUAAGUCAUUAUGGAAUGGAAAGGAAAAUGGCCACGUUUGAUUACUUUUGGUUUAGAAUCAGGAAAGCUGAAGUUAUACAGGAAGGCCAACUGAGAUCAAAAAGAAACUGUCUCUACCUGGUGCGCCCACAUAGCAAUUCUGUCCAGCCCAAGAGUCUGGGACAUGCCAGAACAUUUUCUUCUUUAUAGUCUGUGGGAGGCACUGACAAGAACAGUUGAUACAGAUUGCAAGCACAGCGACAUAGUAGUGUCGUAAUGCAUCAUCACAUGCUAUCUUUGGUAUAUUCUAGAAUUUUAUCACGAGGCAUUGAUCCCACACCUGAGAUUUGCCUCCAUUUGAGACUCAGAAUUUUGCAGCUGUUUUCUCAAUGCAGGAAGAGGUCAUUAUUAGAAUGAAGUGAAGAAAGGAAGGCAUGAAGGGGAAAUGGGACUGUUUACGGAGCACAUCUACACAAAGGAGACAGGGGGAAGUGCUGUGCUCUUCAGUGUCUUUGUAGCAUAAAUCACUGAGGCAGAGGAAUUUUUGACAGCUUUCCCUAAGUGCUCGCUUCAAGGGUGAGACCAAAUGAUUAUGGCAAGAGAGCCAAGGCACACAACCAGUAUACCCACCCUGCCAGCUGUAAGCCAGAAGGAGGCAAAGAACGCUGCAAAUUGUGAGUCACUGCUUUGAAGAUUUAGACGCCAAAAUAGGACAACAGAUUUUUUUAAUUAUUAAAAAAAAGAGAAGAAGAAGAAGAAGCUGAAAUUACCCCUUCUUGUAUUUCAGUAUUGAGUUUGUGGGGAUCAGAAUGCAAAGGCUUAUUUUCCCAUGUAAAUGUUGCAAAAGGGGACAUAAGAACACAUCCCUUUUAAGUUAUCUUCAUCACUAAUUUACUCAGAAAUGUAAGCAACUCAAGAUACCAUAUAAACAAGCUGCUAAGAAACAAUCGUGUAAAUAGCAUUGAAUGAGGACAAAGAUACAGGAAAGCAGAAUAUCAAAGAAGUAAACGAGAGUCUUAGAUAGCUUCAGUAUGUACACAGGCACAAUCAGACAGGGUUCAAUGACAACGUAACAGAAAUGAAAGAAAAGCUUCACACUUGAAAACAACGCUGAGAAUUAAAAAUCAAUGACGGAAAACUUUGCUACCUACAAAACCUCUGUGUCAGGAGUCCAUCAAAGUUCUAAGACUGGCAGAUCGCAUAUCUCUAUAACAUUCAUCCGUCAAAUGCAUAGCCUGAUGCAACAACAAGCAAACACUGGUCAAGGCAAAACCGACACAAUUUCCAACAUAUCUGACUAUCCUGUAUUAUGUUGGACAAGAAACUUUGAUAGAUUAUAGGGCAGCAAAUAGAUAAGCAGAUUAGCCGUGGAUAUGAUACAGUAUUCCAGAAGAGGAAAACUAACACAGUGUGUUUAUUCCUUAGUUUUGAUGAAUUAAGCAUUGUUGUGUGAGCUGAGACUAGCAGAAAAAGCCAAUGGAAAGGUGUAUGAGGCACGAGCUUUUCAUCACAGGAAUGCUUUUAACACUUAUUCUGUUCAAAAUCUGAAAAAAGUAGUAAGAACUAUUGACUUCUUGAAGUCAAUGCAGACAUGACUUCAAAAUUAUGUUGAGGAAGCAGUGUCCAGUUUAUCUUAGCUGGAUGUUUCAAGUAUAGCAAUCGAUGAUGGUUAUUUCAGGAUAGUAACAACAUAAAAAUUCAACUUUCAUCAACCUUUUCUUGGACACUUGUCUCAUUUCUAGGCAAUGGAGACCAAAUGCAGAAAACUAGCUAUAUAGGUAAUCGAAUGGAAA
rnacentral:sRNA from 1 species